AACGAAAUUUAAUCUUUCUUUGUUUCAAAAUUAAAUUAAACUCCAUCUAACAUUUACGACUUUAUGACUAGUGAAAGGCACUAAACUCGACCCAUUACUUCAACAUACUUAAAGAGGAAUCAGUUCAAGAUUUUUUGAUCGCAAUGAAGUUUGCAGCUGUAGUAACUAUUCUAGUGGUAAUUGCCUCUACAUCUCAACAAAAGCCAACGAAACCUCCUACUGCUGCGGCUGUCCAAAGCGAAUUUAGAACAAAGGUGCUAAAAAGUAUAGUUGAGAUGCUAGAUGAUUUAAAUAAGAAAGGAGAAAAAUUCACAUUGAGGGAGGUAGAGAGGAAAGUUCACGAAGUAGGCACACAGGCUUUACAGAACUAUACCAACAAAGAUAUUUCAUUGGAAGAAUUAAGAAGUUUUAGUCAAGAGAUAGCAGAGUCUCCUGAAUACAAAGCUAGGGUGAAAACGCUCUUGAAACCUGGUGAAACUGACGAUAUUGCUUCUAGAUGUCCUCCUCUUAUGUUUUUUUCUUAAUGCGUGCAGAGGAUAUGUUAUAUCAUUUUGUACCAUUUAUGCAAUAUAAUUUAUGUUAAAUAAACUUUUUUUAGCAGCA